AGGCCAUGUUGAUUGACAGCAACAAUACAGGGGGCGUAGUAGGUGGUGGAGCUGCUGCUGUGGAUGUAGAAGAACGAGGAGCCGAACAUGGGGAAUGCGCUGAUCAGUCCUGCACGCACAGAGAAACAGAAAUUAACAAGAGGCUGGACUGACCAUCUGGCAUACCGGGCAUUUUCCCGGUGGGCCGACGUCCUUUUGGGCCGACGCAUGUCUUCUUUUUUUUGGCCCAUAAAACAGUGCCUCCUCUUAACAUGAACAGGAGAUCUUACCCAGAAACUGUGCUCUGGCCUGGUGCGGGUUCAGGGUCUGCACUUGCUGCAUGUGUUGCGUCACCAUGGUAACCCACUGCUGGGGUGGCUGCUUUUUG